GGAUGAACGCUGGCGGCGUGCCUAAUACAUGCAAGUCGAGCGAACGGACGAGAAGCUUGCUUCUCUGAUGUUAGCGGCGGACGGGUGAGUAACACGUGGAUAACCUACCUAUAAGACUGGGAUAACUUCGGGAAACCGUAGCUAAUACCGGAUAAUAUUUUGAACCGCAUGGUUCAAAAGUGAAAGACGGUCUUGCUGUCACUUAUAGAUGGAUCCGCGCUGCAUUAGCUAGUUGGUAAGGUAACGGCUUACCAAGGCAACGAUGCAUAGCCGACCUGAGAGGGUGAUCGGCCACACUGGAACUGAGACACGGUCCAGACUCCUACGGGAGGCAGCAGUAGGGAAUCUUCCGCAAUGGGCGAAAGCCUGACGGAGCAACGCCGCGUGAGUGAUGAAGGUCUUCGGAUCGUAAAACUCUGUUAUUAGGGAAGAACAUAUGUGUAAGUAACUGUGCACAUCUUGACGGUACCUAAUCAGAAAGCCACGGCUAACUACGUG
rnacentral:rRNA from 1 species